AGUGAACGCUGGCGGUAGGCCUAACACAUGCAAGUCGAACGGCAGCACAGUAAGAGCUUGCUCUUACGGGUGGCGAGUGGCGGACGGGUGAGGAAUACAUCGGAAUCUACUUUUUCGUGGGGGAUAACGUAGGGAAACUUACGCUAAUACCGCAUACGACCUACGGGUGAAAGCAGGGGAUCUUCGGACCUUGCGCGAUUGAAUGAGCCGAUGUCGGAUUAGCUAGUUGGCGGGGUAAAGGCCCACCAAGGCGACGAUCCGUAGCUGGUCUGAGAGGAUGACCGCCAACAUUGGACUGGGGAACGGUCCAAGCCCCCAACGGAAGGAAGCAGGGGGAAAAUUUGACAAUGGGCGCAAGCCUGAUCCAGCCAUACCGCGUGGGUGAAGAAGGCCUUCGGGUUGUAAAGCCCUUUUGUUGGGAAAGAAAAGCAGCAGGUUAAUACCCCGCUGUUCUGACGGUACCCAAAGAAUAAGCACCGGCUAACUUCGUG
rnacentral:rRNA from 1 species